CAUCAACUCUCAAGUCUCUCAACCGUCAGUCACUAAAAAAUUCAAAAACAACAAAACCAUUGGAACCCACAAAAUUUUUUCAAAACCCAUUGGUCCCAUACAAGGCAUCCAUCCUUCCAAAACCUUUCCCCUUCUCUCAUCAAACCUAAAGAAUAUAUUUACAGAUUCAACUUUCAAGACUUGUUUGUUAUCUAUUCACUAAUCUAUCAACUGCUUUUCGGGCAUGAUACAAGUUACAACAAUAUUUGCAUUUUACAGCAAAAACAAGCAAGAAUCAAGAUACAAAAUUUCAGCUGCGAUCCACCACUAUUGGUCCACCACUAUUGGUGUAGCCCCGUUUCACACCGCUAUUUUCAGUAAUAGCUGUUUCGGACAGCGCCGUUACCACUAUAUAGUGGCCGCUAUUUUAGUAUCCGACCGCUAUUUACAUCCCUACUAAACAGCAAUGGGAGGAGAAGAGAGAUUUAAAAAUCGUGUCUGACAAAAGGAAAAUGAGAGUCAUUAGCCAACGAAAGGACGAAAAGAAGGAUCUGGAAAUGGUAACUGGAAAAGGGGUAGUAUGAUCAAUGAGAAAAUAUUGGGAAUUGAAUCGGGUAAUUAAGAUUUUUGUCAGGUUAAAUGUUGGGCAUUGGUUGUAUGGAAAUGGGGCCUGGUGGGUUUUAGGAAAGUUUAUUUAGGUUUUGGGUUAGGUUAAGAAAAGUUUCUGUUAGUUGGAGUUUUUUUAUUGUAGCCUUAGUUUACCUUUUUUUGUUUUUGUACAAACUGUUGGCCAAGGCCCAUUCUUUAAUGCAAAGUCCCAUAUUAUAUUAAAAAAAAAAGUAAGUAAGUAAAAGGUAUUGUUGGAUAUAUUAGAGGUGGAGAAUUUCUUUUUUAA